CUACGGGGGGCAGCAGUGAGGAAUUUUGCGCAAUGGGGGAAACCCUGACGCAGCAACGCCGCGUGAGCGAAGAAGGCCCUCGGGUCGUAAAGCUCUGUCAAGUGGGAAAAAAAUCUUUUGAUCAAUAGUCAAAAGACUUGAUGGUACCACUGGAGGAAGCACCGGCUAACUCCGUGCCAGCAGCCGCGGUAAUACGGAGGGUGCAAGCGUUGUUCGGAUUUACUGGGCGUAAAGAGCGGGUAGGCGGUUUAGCAAGUCAGAUGUGAAAGCCCUGGGCUCAACCCGGGAAGUGCAUUUGAAGGUGCUUGGCUGGAGUAGGGGAGAGGGGAUGAGAAUUGCGGGUGUAGGGGUGAAAUGCGUAGAGAUCGGGAGGAACACCGGUGGCGAAGGCGACUCCCUGGACUAAUACUGACGCUGAGGCGCGAAAGCGUGGGGAGCAAACAGGAUUAGAUACCCUUGUAGUC
rnacentral:rRNA from 1 species